CCCUGGCAUUCCAGGAGUAAAGGGGAAUGCAGGGCAAUCAGGACUACCGGGUCCCCAAGGGCACCGUGGAUUAGCGGGCUUGCCAGGCACUCCUGGAACCAAAGGUGGCCCAGGAGAGAAGG